rnacentral:rRNA from 1 species
GAGUUUGAUCCUGGCUCAGGAUGAACGCUGGCGGCGUGCUUAACACAUGCAAGUCGAGCGAAGCGGCUGAAUUGAUUCUUCGGAUGAUUUUCAGUUGACUGAGCGGCGGACGGGUGAGUAACGCGUGGGUGACCUGCCCCAUACCGGGGGAUAACAGCUGGAAACGGCUGCUAAUACCGCAUAAGCGCACAGAGCUGCAUGGCUCGGUGUGAAAAACUCCGGUGGUAUGGGAUGGGCCCGCGUCUGAUUAGGCAGUUGGCGGGGUAACGGCCCACCAAACCGACGAUCGGUAGCCGGACUGAGAGGUUGAACGGCCACAUUGGGACUGAGACACGGCCCAGACUCCUACGGGAGGCAGCAGUGGGGAAUAUUGCACAAUGGGGGAAACCCUGAUGCAGCGACGCCGCGUGAAGGAAGAAGUAUCUCGGUAUGUAAACUUCUAUCAGCAGGGAAGAUAAUGACGGUACCUGACUAAGAAGCCCCGGCUAACUACGUGCCAGCCGCCGCGGUAAUUC